rnacentral:rRNA from 1 species
UAUCUCUGUAGAGUCUGCAUAUCAAUAAGCGGAGGAAAAGAAACUAACAAGGAUUCCCCUAGUAACGGCGAGUGAAGCGGGAAGAGCUCAAAUUUGAAAUCUUCAAGGUUUUACCUUGACGAAUUGUAGUUUAAAGAAGUGUUUUCUGUUGGAAGUUUUGGUAAAAGUUCUUUGGAAUAGGACAUCAUAGAGGGUGAGAAUCCCGUAUUUGACUAUUCUUUCUAGCUUUGUGAUACACUUUCUAAGAGUCGGAUUGUUUGGGAAUGCAGUCCAAAAUGGGUGGUAAAUUUUAUCUGAAGCUAAAUAUUGGCGAGAGACCGAUAGCGAACAAGUACCGUGAGGGAAAGAUGAAAAGAACUUUGAGAAGAGAGUUAAACAGUACGUGAAAUUGUCAAAAGGGAAGCGUUUGACACCAGUGUUGUUUUUCCGAAAAUCAAUUAAAAAAGGCUGGAUUUUGUGUUGUAUUGACUUUAUCAGCUUUCUGCACUCUUUUCUUGUCUUUUUUAAUGCACUUUUCGUUUAACAAGUCAACAUCAAUUUCUUUUGUUGUAAAAGGGUCAUUGGAAGGUGGCUUUCUUUUCGGAGAAAGUGUUUAUAGCCUUUGGCCUCUGCAAUCGGAGAGAUUGAGGUCUGCAGCGUAGAUCCUUCGGGGUUAGAUGCAUUUGUGCUAAGUUAUAGCCUUUCAUAGACAACUUGUUGACUAUGAUCAGUCAUGUAGCUUACUCGCUUAUGUCAUUUUACCUACGCUUAGGAUGUUGAUGUGAUACUGCGAGCA